GACGAACGCUGGCGGCGUGCUUAACACAUGCAAGUCGAACGGAAAGGCCCCUUCGGGGGUACUCGAGUGGCGAACAGGUGAGUAACACGUGAGUAACCUGCCCUUGACUUCGGGAUAACUUCAGGAAACUGGGGCUAAUACCGGAUAGGAAUCCUUGCUGCAUGGUGGGGGUUGGAAAGCUUCGGCGGUUUUGGCUGGACUCGCGGCUUAUCAGCGUGUUGGUGUGGUAGUGGCUUACCAAGGCUUUGACGGGUAGCCGGCCUGAGAGGGCGACCGGCAACAUUGGGACUGAGAGGAGGCAGAGACUCGUACGGGAGGCAGAAGUGGGGAAUAUUGCACAAGGGGCGGCAGCCUGAUGCAGCAACGCCGCGUGCGGGAUGACGGCCUUCGGGUUGUAAACCGAUUUCAGCAGGGGCGAAGCUUGUGGUGACGGUACCUGAAGAAGAAGCACCGGCUAACUACGUG
rnacentral:rRNA from 1 species